AUGCGUGAGAAAGCACACAUACUCAAGCAUGUGCAACUGACUGACUCUGGUUUUCAUUCUUAUAGUUAUCAUCUUAACCUGCAGCUCAGAGGAUGCAAAAAUUAUUCUUCUGGCUGCAGCAAACCUGGGACUCAACACUGGAGAAUUUGUUUUCAUCAUUUUGCAGCAGUUGGAGGACCGUUUUUGGAAGGAAGUACUGACAAAUCAGAAAAUGAUGCACCUCCCAAAGGUGUAUGGGUCACUGCUUCUCAUUGCCCUCAGCUCCUACAGAAAAGGCCGUGGAGACGAAGGCUUUUGGAAACAAGUCUACCAAACACUGAGGAGGCCGCCCUUCCGCAGCACCAUCUCCUGGGAGGAGCAGGUGUGAUGCCGGGUCUUCCAGCUCAGGCUCCCUCCUCCCCUUCUUUGAUCAUAUUUGUGUUUGGCUUUUGCAUUUCUCCCUCUUAUUUCUCCUCAUCUCUCCCUACCCCCCUUACACACAUGCAGGUGCACACACAUGCACUUCCCCAUCUUACACGCCCAAAAUAAACAGCAGUUUGAUGCUCUCUUGUG
rnacentral:lncRNA from 1 species